CCGGCACGGGUGAGUAACACGUAUCCAACCUGCCGUCUACUCUUGGCCAGCCUUCUGAAAGGAAGGUUAAUCCAGGAUGGCAUCAUGAGUUCACAUGUCCGCAUGAUUAAAGGUAUUUUCCGGUAGACGAUGGGGAUGCGUUCCAUUAGAUAGUAGGCGGGGUAACGGCCCACCUAGUCUUCGAUGGAUAGGGGUUCUGAGAGGAAGGUCCCCCACAUUGGAACUGAGACACGGUCCAA
rnacentral:rRNA from 1 species